GGGGUUGUGGCUCAGUGGUAGAGCGCUCGCCUCACAUGUGUGAAGCACUAGGUUCGAUCCUCUGCACCA
rfam:Ictidomys tridecemlineatus contig029001, whole genome shotgun sequence.